UUGAGGUUAUGUGAAGGAUGUGAAGGCGGGAUCCGGAUUUCAUUUGGGUCAAACUUAUGGAUCACCGACUUCCACUUUUUCAAAACACAAACACAAUUAGGGUUUCUUCUUCAAUCUCUUCCGCUUCUCCAUUCUCCAUGGCUCUAGCUGCUCCUCCAUCAAUGUGUGAACCAAAUUUGAGAAACAUGUUCCUUCUUCGUGAUACAACAUUGCAAACCCUAAUUCUUCAAGCUUAUACUCUUCGUGUCUGAAGACCAAGGUAUGCGUAUCUCUAACCCUAAUUUCAUCAAAGUCAGUAUCAGAUGAUUAUGAAGAAUGAUGGUGUCGGUGGUUCUGAUUGGGUUUUUGUUGAUGACUUUGAUGUUUAAUGUUUGUACAACGUUAUUUACUUCGUGAAUUAACAGAAUUCCAAAGUGGUUGAAUUCUUCACUGAAUAUGGCGAAUCGUAUCAAUACAAAAUCUUGGAGAUCAUGGGGAAGGGAAGUUAUGAAGUUGUUUGUUCAGCCGUUGACGCACACACAUUGGGGAAAAGGCUGUGAAAUUGAAAGUAAGGGGGCUGAAUUAGUUAAAUGAGGAAAAUAUGCUCCAAUUCUGGUUCCAAGGCUGAUAGUUACUUGAUAUUGCUCACAGCAAGCUCACAAGCCUUUUUUCCAUCUUAAAAUGUAGAUUCGCUGGCAUCAAGGUUCCCGACGCUUUUUUAACUAGAAAAGUCUAAAUGGUAUUGUGUAGCUGACGAAGGGUGGGUGCAGAUGCCGUUGUUCUCAGUUGGGUUUGGUGAAGGAAAAAUCUAAGCAUCGCUGAAUUACGGGAACUUUCGGAGUUAACCCAUUUGGUGCAACUAAUAGCUAUUGUGACAACUCGUACGUUUCACCUCAUAUUGUUUCCUUUACGUUUCACCGUACGUUGUAAUUGUGCAAGAUUAAUAUAAGAAGUUGAUAUUAAUGUAAAAUGUUUGGAUA